rnacentral:lncRNA from 1 species
UUAUUUUAUUUUAUUUACUUUAUGCUCAAAAGCUCUUUUAGAAAAUGCUUUGAAAAGAAAUAGAAUAAAGAAAAGAAAAAAAAAACUCACCUGCGCUCUCGGCCUGUUGGCCCAGAACCACCCAAGACGCCACCUUAGCCAGCUGCGCACCGACCCUCCCCUCCCUCUCCUUCUUUGACCGACAAUCGGGCCCCACAUGUCAGCGGCCUUCCUUCUACCUCCGGUCGUCUUCGAACGGGACUCAGCCGGAAAACAGAUUCGAUCCCGGGAUUCGCGAUUCCUUGCCAAACGUGAAAACCGACCCGUAUUUAACCCCCAGCAUCGCCCCGCGCGUUGUUUUCCACCCUCGCCGCGGAAACCAAGCCCUAGACGCCAGCCCACGCGCGGUUUUGGAUCUUGCCGAAAGCUAACUCCGCCACCGCACGCCGCGCGCCUCUCUCGCUACUCCUCGGCCCCAGCAAAGCACCUCCUCGAGUUCGCGGUGAGCUCUCGUUCCGAUGGUGUUUUUCUUUCUUGAAACGGUGCUCGGAAACGAGAAACCCGCGAACGCCGGCGAGCUUUCUAACGGUGGCCAUGGCGCCACCGUGCGGAGCUCCGGUCGGCCGGCCGGCCUGGAUGGAACACCAGCCGUUAGAUGCAAGAUCAAGGGACAGAAAUAGAAGUUACCCCUUCAGCUGCGAAACUAUAUAAAGAGUCCUUGAACUUUUUCAUAUUUGCUCCGCAGUCCUUGGCGCCCUGAGACGAUUCCGUUACUCAACUCCGAAAGCGUAUUUCGUAACAGCUUGAGUAAAAUACGUUUUCUAGAAAUUACAGAAUUGCCAUUGGAUUUAGUUUGCUCAUAAAAUACUCAUUUUAACUCCGUUUUUGUCCAUUCAAAUUCCGUUGGAUUCGUAUUUACGAUCUCUACAUGUUAGAAAUAUUAGUUUACUGUUUUGAAACUUUUUAAUUCUGCAGUAGCAUUUAAUUAAUUAUUUCUUUAUAGGAAAUCUUAGAAAAUUCAUAUCUUUCACGUUUUAAUUCCGAUUUUCGUGAACUUUACGUUUGUGUGAUCGUAGCGCUGCGUAGAAUAUUUUGAUAAACUUUUAUAUUUGUUUUACCACUGUUUGGUGUAUUGUUCUAAUUAUAGUUUGUUUGCUUCGUGUAUGAUUGUCUACAUUGGAUUGCGUGUUGUUGAUUGAUGAUUGGGAUUAGACGGUGAGCCGUACGUUGGUGACCAAGACCAAGCUUUUGAGGACCAGCAGGCUCAGGAGAGCUUUGAGCAAGGCAAGUAUAACUUGGGAUCAUCUUUGUUACCUAUUCACUUAAGUACAUAUAUAUCAUAUGCAUGCUAUCACCUUGUCGACCUUAGCAAAAUCAUAGAUGAUUGUUACCUGUAUUCCUUGCUACCUACUUGAUAUGCAUUUGUUGUAGAUGUGCUAGUGCUUGAAAUAAUCCAUGAUCUUGUAAGAUGAUUAUUAGCUAUGCAAUGAACAUAAAAGAAUGACAAAUAACUGUAUGAGAUCUUGUCUGUACGUGAUCACCCGGGAUAACAGUGCAACCAUGAGGGCUAUAAUGGCUCUGGCUUUAGCUCAGUAUGAAGACCUUUUCUAGCUUGUUAGAGGUUACCCGAAAGGGCGGAGGGGCUGAACCGACACGGGUAUAGUGCGAGCCCCUGUCCCUAUGUGUAUAGGCUGCGCGUCAUUGUGCCAUUUGGAAGGGGGGUAUCUAUAUCUGCUCGCAAAGGAAACCUUGCGGCCCUAACUUGUUAGACGAACUUUUGAAAGGCUUCAUAGUGAUCCCUGCCGACCUCCCUAGGAAGGGGGUUAAGAGAUUAGCUACCUCGGGCGAAAGGGUAAAUCAUGACUCAUGGGUAAAGAUGUACAACCUCUGCAGAGUGUAAAACUGGUAUACUAGCCGAGCUCACGGUCAGGAGCGGCCUUGGGGACAUCUACAUUAAGAUGAUGAGCUUGUUAUGUUAUUAUGUUCAUUUGAUUAUCGUUUAUGCUAUGAGAUUAAUUAUGCUUACACUUGAUCAUGGGAUUAAUGGAUUAUUUAUGCUUCAUUGACAAUUGCUAUUUCAUUAUGAACAUGCUAUCCACUAUUAAAAGCUAAAUGCAGUCAAACCAGUGUCAGCUAUUUGAGCCCCAUGAACCCCUGGUUAUACUUGUUGAGUACGAUAUGUGCUCACUCUUGCAAUUUCCCAACACCUCAGGGUAUGAUAAUGAAGAUGACUGGAAGGAGGAUUAUCGGUAUGAGUACUAGGUUUGGAGUCAACCAGUCAACAGUGUCCCUGUGUGGAGCUUCCGUCGAGAGCGUUGUUUACAUCUUGCUAUCAUUUAUGUAUAAGACUAUGUGAUUUUCUUAUGUUUCGCUAUGUAAUGAACACUGCAAUGGUACGUUUGAGAUUUGUCUACUUAUUUGUGCGACUAUUCCUGGGGCACAUAUGAGUCUUUUAUACAUCCUAUUUUGUUCUUGAAAUAUGGGUGUGACAAAUUGGUAUCAAAGCUUUGUUGACUGUCGGACGCAAGCCUAGUUAGAAAUUGGCCGUCAUAAGGUUUUGAAAUUGCUAUAAAAUCCUUGUUCUAUAAACCUUGAUAUUUUCUUCUACACUAUAUCCUAUUCAUCUUCACCUUGUUGCUUAUCUUAAAGACUUGUUCUCAUCCCCACUCCUUGCUUUGAAUAUGCUUUUAGAACCUUCUCUUACCACCUGCUUACAUAGUUGAAAGAGAAUUUUAGGAAUCUUUGCCCUUAAUAGGAAGAGAACGAUAGUACCGCAAGUUGAGUUAAUGCUUGAAAUGUGAACCUUUGAUGCUUGGUUUGGUUUGUUAUUAUGCUUAUGCUUGAUUUGGAUCUUUGUAAUGAGUGCAAUGAUCUUGUGGAUUUUCUCUACAAUUUCAUUUAGUUUAUAGGCCUAAGAUAUAAGGAUUAAUGAAUUAAAUAGUUGGGUUUGGGUAAGAUUCUGUUUCCGUCCUUUGCUGUUUUAUGGAGCAGUCUGCAAUGAAUCUGGUACAUCUCAAAAUCUGUUCAUGCAAUGUCCAUCAAUUUUUUCUGGGAACAAGUAGACUUCCAUAUCUUUCCAAUGCCACAAGAAUGACCAUAUCAUCGAUUAUGAGCUGAGAGUUAUGACUGUUUCAAGUUGAGGUUUCUGCGCAGUCUGGAAUUCUGGAACAGUUUCGGUUGUACCCAGUUUUUGGUUAACCUCACUUUGGAAUCCGGUAAUAUGAUCUAAAUGAAAGUUGUAGACAAUUUCUUUAUCUUUCCAACGGUGUACAGCAUGUAUCCUUUUGAAUUCUGGAACUCGAGAUAUUACUGAUUUUCUGAUCUGCUGAUGUUGGAUGUUACCCAGAAAAUUUCAGAUUCGGUUAACUCUUGUAAUUGUCAUGUUGGACAUUACUAAGAUGUGUUUAUAUACCUUGGAAUGCAGAUGGCAGCAAGGGGAAGAGGCAGAGGCAGAGGCCGUGGCAAUGGUGACAAUGCCCCAAUUACUGUGGAGGAACUUAUGCAAACUCAGAAUCAGAUGAUGCACGUCUUCAUGCAACACCUACAACAACAACCUCCACCAACACCACCACCUGUUCACGUGAGAGACAAGCGUGGAGAGUUUAUGAAGGGAAGACCUCCAGUAUUUACACACUCAGCGGAUCCCAUGGAGGCAGAUGAUUGGUUACGUGCUGUGGAGAGGCAACUGAACAUAGCACAGUGCAAUGAUUUGGAGAAGGUGUUGUAUGCAUCUGGACAGCUUCAGGGAGCAGCCCAGACAUGGUGGGAGUCAUAUCAAGCUGCUCGUCCCAACAAUGCUCCUCCUGUCACUUGGGUAGAAUUUUGCAGAGACUUCCGAGCACGACACAUCAAUGAAGGAAUGAUGGAGCUCAAGCAGGAAGAAUUCAGAUCUCUUAGGAUGGGUUCUAUGUCUGUGGCUGAGUAUCAUGACAUGUUUGAGCAGUUGGCUCGCUAUGCUCCAAACGAAGUCAGAGAAGAUGCUGACAAACAACGUCUCUUCAUGAAAGGUCUUUACUAUGAACUCAGAUUGCAACUGGCUGGAAAUACCUACCCUACAUUCCAGGCUCUGGUGAACCGUGCUAUUGUGUUGGAUAACAUGCGUAAAGGUCAAGAUAAGAAGAGAAGAAUGUUAGCCCAAGGUUCUGGAGGCAACAACCGCCAACGUUUCAAUUCUCAGCAGAGCAAUCAACAGAGGUUCCAGGGACCAGUUAGUCAAUGGGAUCGCAACCAACAAUCUCAGCGUAAUUCUAAUCAUCAACAGAGUGGACAGCAGACUUCCCGCUCCGGAGAUUCAAAUGCCACCUCUAUGAAGAGAAGUGCUCCCAAUACCCCUACUAGGUGUUUUCGCUGUGGGAAAGAAGGUCAUAUGUCAUAUGAUUGCCCGGAGAGAUUCAACCAGCGGAACAACAAUCAAAAGUCUAAUUCUCAUGGAGCAAAGGUGAACCAUGUGGCUGCAGAGACAGUACAAGAGGGACCGGAGAUUAUGAUGGGUACGUUCAGUAUCAACUCUAUUCCCGCUACAGUUUUAUUUGAUUCUGGAGCUUCGCAUACAUUCAUAUCACAAGCAUUUGUUAGAGCUCAUAGCAUACCACUAGUUGCCCUGAAAACCCAUAUGCUAGUAAACUCACCGGGAGGGACUAUACCAGUUUCAUAUUGUUGCCCCUCAGCAAGUCUUUCUUUAAGGGGGGUAGAUUUCCCUGUUAGUCCCAUGGUUAUGAGAACCUCAGGCAUAGAUGUGAUAUUGGGUUUGGAUUGGAUGAAGAAAUAUGCUGCGGAAAUUAAGUGCAAGGAGAAAGUAGUAGUUGUGACCACACCCAAGGGAGAGAGAAUCAGUGUGGACGUAGCAGUACAAGCUCCACCCACAGCCACAGUGAAUCAUUUAGAUGAUGAUGGUGUUGAUCUUCAGGACUGUGUAGGGAAUAAAUUUUCAGAUAAGUUACGAGGUAUGUUACCUGGUUAGAGACAUUGAAGUUGCUAGUACAAUGGAAUUGGUAUUUAGAGACACAAGCAACUUGAAAAAAAAGAGAAGGUUUGGAGAAGGACAUAUCCACAGUGGUUUGUUUAUACACUGCUCAAUCUCGAGGACGAGAUUCUUUUAAGAGGGGUAGAGUUUGUAACACCCAAAAUUUUGAUUUCAAUUAAUAGGAAUUAAUGUGAAGUAAUUAAGUAUUUUUUUAUGACCAUUUAACGUAGUAAAUAAAUAAAUUUUGUUGAAAAUAAAAAAAAAUUAUCAUAAGUUUAGAAACAUGGCUGUGCAUUCAUGCUGGAUGCAUAAUAAUUUUUGUGCUGAUUUUAUUUUAUUUUAUUUACUUUAUGCUCAAAAGCUCUUUUAGAAAAUGCUUUGAAAAGAAAUAGAAUAAAGAAAAAAAAACUCACCUGCGCUCUCGGCCUGUUGGCCCAGAACCACCCAAGACGCCACCUUAGCCAGCUGCGCACCGACCCUCCCCUCCCUCUCCUUCUUUGACCGACAAUCGGGCCCCACAUGUCAGCGGCCUUCCUUCUACCUCCGGUCGUCUUCGAACGGGACUCAGCCGGAAAACAGAUUCGAUCCCGGGAUUCGCGAUUCCUUGCCAAACGUGAAAACCGACCCGUAUUUAACCCCCAGCAUCGCCCCGCGCGUUGUUUUCCACCCUCGCCGCGGAAACCAAGCCCUAGACGCCAGCCCACGCGCGGUUUUGGAUCUUGCCGAAAGCUAACUCCGCCACCGCACGCCGCGCGCCUCUCUCGCUACUCCUCGGCCCC